rfam:Herbaspirillum sp. HZ10 Scaffold10_2, whole genome shotgun sequence.
GUACUCCUGCCGUGUUCGCGAUUGCCAUAUAUUCCUUGAACCAUUUACGAGCAUAGGCUGUAGGAUCGUUCGAUGGGCGUGAGCGUCGCUAGUCCGAUGAACCCGAAAUUGAACUACUGCAGCCAACUUGAACCUGUAAGGUUCAGGAUGCCGGCACAGCGGCACAGGCGGGACUUGA